GACGAACGCUGGCGGCGUGCUUAACACAUGCAAGUCAAGGGGGCCCAGCAAUGGGCAACCGGCGAACGGGUGCGUAACACGUGAGCAACCUACCGAACUGUGGGGGAUAGCCGGCCUAACGGCCGAGUAAUACCGCAUACGCUCUCAGGGAGGCAUUUCUUUGAGAGGAAACCUACGGGACAGAUCGAGGGGCUCGCGGCCUAUCAGCUAGUUGGCGAGGUAACGGCUCACCAAGGCAACGACGGGUAGCUGGUCUGAGAGGAUGGCCAGCCACAUUGGGACUGAGAUACGGCCCAGACUCCUACGGGAGGCAGCAGUGGGGAAUCUUGCGCAAUGGCCUAACGGCUGACGCAGCGACGCCGCGUGUGGGAUGAAGCUCUUCGGAGUGUAAACCACUGUUGCCCGGGACGAACAGCUCG
rnacentral:rRNA from 1 species